AAGCCAUGAUUCGGAGACCUCAUUAAUUAUUGCUUGAACCUCUCCCAAGCUUCAUAAUUUGUUCCCCCGAAAGUUUCUAGAACUCAAAAAUGUUGUCUCUAAGUUC